UCUUCCAAAACUUUAAUUUGCUAAUUUCAAAGCUUCAUUUCUUCCAUGGAACAUAUGUCCUAAGACUGAGGGUGAACCAUGGGGAAAAGGAAUACUGAAAGUAGUCUCCUACAUUUCUAGAAAAUUAUUUUCCCCAUUCUGGAUCCAUACUUAUGGGAGCAAUUCUCUGUCUUCUUUGAAGACUUGUACUCUGAUGUUGAAACAGCAGUUUGAAAAAGAAAAAAAAAAGCCUAGGGAGAAAAAACAAAAUAUGAAUAGGAGUCCUAGGGCCAACACCAUCCCCAUACAAUCAGUCCUCUAUCUGGUACCCCACACUAAGUACUCUACACAGAAUGGAGUCAUUUCUCUGAAGAUCAAUACAUGCAAAUUAUCCACUUAUGUCUGCCCUCUCUCCACCUUUCUCACUUUCUCCCAUCCACAAUUGUGAAGUGGGAAAGACAGUCCUUAAAGGAAAAAGUUGAAUCUGGAAAAAACUAUGGCGUUGGCACUUAAUUUUAAGGAAAAGGUGCUCUGGGCAGCCCUGGUGGCGCAGCAGUUUAGCGCAGCCUUCAGCCCGGAGUGUAAUCCUGGAGACCCAGGAUCAAGUCCCAUGUUGGGCUCUCUGCCUGGAGCCUGCUUCUCCCUCUGCCUGUGUCUCUGCCUCUCUCUCUCUCAUGAAUAAAUAAAAUCUAAAAAAAAAAAAAAAAAAAAAAAGGAAAAGGUGCUCUGAGAAAAAUUCUAUUUUGCCACUCACAUCACACAGCCUGUCUCUAAAUUUUGCUAGAUGGCAUCUUCUAGGGAAAAAGUGAUAGUAAUGCCUCCCUUAAGCCCCCAAGCCCCUCUCCCAAAGACCAGAUAGGCCUCCUGAUUAUUAUCCUCACACAAAGAAGAUGGUAUAACAAGCACUUCCCCAAAAACUGCUAGGGAAAGAUAGCAUCUUUUAAUGUUAGGGAUGGAGAGAGGAGUACAAAAACCCUUUAAAAAUCAGUCACUUAGUUGCUCUGACUUGGAAGCAUGACACAAAUAUGUGCCUUUAGGUGAAACCUUGAUCUUGGAUCAUCCCUAGCCUUACCUACUUCAGCUUUUUGGUGGUGUCACUUAAUGUAGAGCACUUGUCUGGGGAUUAUAGUUCUAUCCUGCUCUUAUUCAUUGUGUGAUUUUUGUGAAAGUACUUAGUAUUUUUGGAUGACUUUCACCACUAUGAGAUGAGGGGCAGAACUAGAAUUAAGCCAAAGGUGGGGGAAAAAAAGAAACAAUCUCCCAGUCCUUAUUAUGGUUUCCCGCAUACUUUAAUGAUGCUUGGAAGUGAUCUCACUCAAAGGUGGCCUCUGUCUCACUUUGAUUUAGGUCCUCAGAAUGAGUCCAGUAUAAGAUAGCAUGGUCCUAUCCCAAAUUAUGAAGAGAAAGGUUUACCUCCACUAUGGAAUCUCUUCCUCUAUAUUUGAAAAACAUAUUCAAUAUAAAGGAAAGGUCAGAGGUGAACAGGCUGUGCUUUAAGUAAGUUUUGAACAUAGAUGCCAUCUAGUCUUUGCAGUCUGCAAAAUUCUUCCUUAAGUGAAUAAAUGUGUAGGGCAACUCUCCAUUACCUUGAUCAGCAUCUAAUACCAACCUGACACUUAGAAUUAAAUUAGAGAAACAAAAUUAGAUACUUUGAGAGUUGAGGACUGAUUAUACUACUAGAGCUAAGAGUGGAUUUAAACUCUUUCCUUAUCCCAUUUAAAUCUAACUAGGUAUAAACUCUCCAUUACUGAGGAAUAAAGGUGUGUCUGCAGAGGUGGAGGUUCCCCUUGAUGUUCUUGGACAAGGAAACCUAAUCCUUUCUUCUGACACACAUGGUUGCAAUAGAAAGCGUUCCCCAACUGCCAGUCUGGUUUUAAUCUAUUGUUUCAAGCAAGAUGGGAUUUGCAGGGAAUGUUAAGGAAAGAGCAAAGUGACCAGAACUUACUAUGAAAUAAAAGUGUUGAAGAGAAAUCAAAUUUUAAACAAGUUUUCAAAAUUGUAAGCUUGAACAUAAUGUAGACAUACAGUGUAUGCCAUAAGUAUAUGAGUUUUUAAUUGUAAGUGUAUCUAAAAUCUGCUUUAAGUACAAUAUUUAUAGUUCAUUUUACUAAAAUUCCUUGGCUUACCAAAUGAUAGUGGUGAAAUACUGCCAGUAAAUACACAGUGAUGCUUCACUUAACACUGUUGGACAAUGAAAGAUACCAUAAGCGAACUUCUCACGUAACCAAACUAACCCUGCAUUUUGCAAACUUUUAAAAUGUUAAUCACUUUGUAUGCAAACAUUUCAAAAGUCUAUUAUGCACUUUUUCAUUAACAGGUCCACUGAAUAUUUUUUCUUGAAGAUUCAAGAUCGCCAUCUAAAAUACUCAUGAGAGGGG
rnacentral:lncRNA from 1 species